GGACUACAGGGGUAUCUAAUCCCGUUCGCUCCCCCAGCUUUCGCGCCUCAGCGUCAAGACUGCCCCAGGAGACCGCCUGCGCCACUGGUGUUCCUACCGAUAUCUACGCAUUUCACCGCUACACCGGUAAUUCCAUCUCCCCCUGGCAGCUUCAAGAGAACCCGUCUCCACCGACCCUCCGGGGUUGAGCCCCGGGCUUUCACAGCGGACAAAGCUCCCCGCCUACGCGCCCUUUACGCCCAGUAACUUCGGACAACGCUCGCCCCCUCCGUAUUACCGCGGCUGCUGGCAC
rnacentral:rRNA from 1 species